ACUGGAAACAUAUAACAGGCUUGCAUUGACGUGAAUAAACCUAUGUGUCAGAGGAACACUGUUUAGACCAGUUUAGUGGUGUGCCAGUGAUGCCAAUAGAAGUUAAUUUCAUGAAUUUCAUGGGAUACAGUGUCAAAGUCCAAAGUCAGAUUCCAGGAGG